ensembl:lncRNA
AUUCUUCCAUAAAAACCAUGGAAAAGAACCAGAUAUGAGAAUUUUUUAAAUUUAAAUCCAUAAUUCCAAGUGUUUUGAAAAGCUGUCUAAAACUACUGUAUAUCCACUAAAAAACAAAAAAAACCUGUGACACAAUAAUUUUGAUUUUCUUUUCAAAGCUUUGUUUCUGAGAAAUUAGGAAAGACAAGUAUUUACAGAGGAAAAAAUAAUAGUUUUAAAAUAUUAAAGCCUCAGUUAAAACACAUAAAGAUAUAAUUAAAUAUUUUAUAAAAAUUGAAGUACUUCUUACUUGUAAACAAGUAACCCAGAAGAAAUUGCAGCAUGAAAAUACAGAGUUUGCACUUCUUAAUGAAGUUUCAGAGGCAAAAGUAUCUCAAGUUGUGUCAUUUGUGUGGCAUGGUCUGAAAUGAGAAAAUCCCCACCACUGUGAGACUGUUACAAAAAUAGCCAGCACUGGAAUGGGAGCAUCAACUGACUUCAGUAAAGGAGGGAAAUACUGGCAAGCUCAAACCUCAACCUCUAGCAGUGAUAUUCUUGUUUCAAGACUUGGAGGUCUACACACAUAUCCACCUAUUUCUGUCAGAGUCUACCCUUGCUGCAAUCUAUCCCUGGGCAGAGAGCCAGUGCAAAAUCUCUCCAGCACAGAAUCCCCACUUGAGCCAUGGGUUUAACUGGAACAUAAUGAAGGGAGUGGCUGAAAAUAACCUGCCCUUACAAGGCAAUCACAUUUCAGGAUUCCCAGGCCACAGGGAAAAAGCAUCUGUAAACAGCAGGGUCUCUGGGUCCUGCCUUUCCCAUCACCUUCUUCUCCUUGGAAAAGGAAACCUCGAGAAACUUCUGUGAAAGCAGCAGUCCCAAUGUGGGAAAGAGAACUUUCAGUGGCUUUGUUCUCCCUUGAACUGCCCCUCAGUGGCUAUGCCAGCUGUAGGCAAGCAGUGGAGCUCACUUUUUCCCAGUUCUGUACAAUGUGAGAGCAGGGGAGUGUGUGCUCCAGGAGCCUCUUUGCAGACGGGGCAAAUGUUAAAAAUGCUGUUGAAUUUGGAAGAGUUUAAGAGAAAACAUCUUCAAAUACGGAGAAGAUUUCAUGGAAAGAAAAGACCAAGAGGAAGCAGGGUUAUUCAUGGACCUAUGAAUGGAUAUCAGAUAAAAGAAAAAUCAGUCUCAUCAACCCACUGGGAAGACCAGGAAGUAAUAAAAUAAAGCAUUAAAAAAGAAAAAAGCAGAUUAAAAAUUAGAGACAUUUUCAUAACUAUGUGAAGGCAAAAUAAACCCAGAUGCAAAUGCAUAAACAAGGUGCCAGGAAAAGCUAUGAAAUUAACUUCACAGGGGAUAUUCAAGAUAUUGGUCUGUGGGGAGUCACUCCAGCAUAAUGAAAUCAGAGCUUUCAAGAUGCAAAGACAUGAACUGAGGAAUCCACUCACUACCUUCUAACCCAAAUCAUCAGAAAGAGAUUUGGUGAGCUAAACAUUAUGUUGACACAAGUUGUCCCCAUUUAUUACAACCCAGUUUCCUUGAAAUACAUGGAACAGACAAGUAUGCUGACAAUGGCGUCAUAACCUGAAUGUGACAGCAAGGCCAGACAUGGGUACCUGACUAAAAGCCAUUGCUAUUUUUCCAGGUAAAAUCUUGCUUUAAUUUAACCUGUUUUACUGAAAUAAUUUCAACACUAUGACUUGCAAGCUUACUGAGAUAAAUUCUCAAAGAAUUUAAAUGAAUAGAUGUGAUUUGUUUUGUUUCUAGCAAAGAUUAAUGCUUUUGCAUAAGGGUUGGAAAGCAGUUCUACUGUCAGAGGAAAACAGAAGUCCCCGCUGCUCCCUGAAAGAGAGCACAGGCCUGUCAGCCUGAUUCUGGUUUUGAAAAUAGAAAUAUUUUCUUCUUUUCUUUACACAACUGUGAUAACAAUCUGUAUGCCAAUGUACAACUAAAGUGUCUCCAGGAAUUACACUGUUUUCAAGAAAUGCAUUUUAAACUUAUUAUAAUAGUGUACUCGAGAGCUUGAAAUUUCCAUGCCCACAGGGCAAUAUAGCACUACAUUUGUGAUUUGAUGUCACAAGCAUGUAGACUUCAGUUUUACAAAUACUCUUCAAGAAAACAUUUAAUUUUUCUCUCCAGGGAAAACAUUAAACCCUACCUCAGAAAACUGUACAGAAGGAAGGGAAUUUGGUUUGAGAUGGCCAUGUUUUGGCUUCCAGUCACCAAAAUCAAAUCUCCUCCCAUAUGUAUUCCAGCUUUAGCUUCAUAGCCCUACUGUUCUGAACCUAAAUAAUAAACCUAGAACAUAUUUUACCCUUUAUACUAUGUUCCCAUUUGUAACAUUCCAGACAGUUUUUCUUAUUUUCCAGAAUUCUGGAGGUCCAUGAUGACUUAUGGUUUCUAAGGAAAUAAGGUUUAGAUGAUCACAAUCUGCCCACUCGUACAUUUCUGUUUCCUUCUCUCAUUUGAAAAAUAACAGAGUAUUUUUAUUCACAUUUGACUGGAUGAUGAAGAUAUCGAAGAUAAAACACUUCUUUGGGUAAAGAAAAAAGAACCAAGCUGGUUCUGCCAAAGGGAUCCAGCCACUGCGUGGUUAUAGAUGGGAGCCAGGUGGUCAGUCAGCAUGUGUGUAUUG